rnacentral:rRNA from 1 species
AAUGUAGGCGGUUUUGCAAGUCAGGGGUGAAAUCCCUCAGCUUAACUGAGGAAGUGCCUUUGAAACUGCAUAACUAGAGGACAGGAGAGGAAAGUGGAAUUCCCGGUGUAGCGGUGGAAUGCGUAGAUAUCGGGAGGAACACCAGAGGCGAAGGCGGCUUUCUGGACUGAUCCUGACGCUGAGAUUCGAAAGCUAGGGGAGCAAACAGGAUUAGAUACCCUGGUAGUCC